rnacentral:rRNA from 1 species
AGCGAACGCUGGCGGCAGGCCUAACACAUGCAAGUCGAACGAAGUCUUCGGACUUAGUGGCGGACGGGUGAGUAACACGUGGGAACGUGCCUUUAGGUUCGGAAUAACUCAGGGAAACUUGUGCUAAUACCGAAUGUGCCCUUCGGGGGAAAGAUUUAUCGCCUUUAGAGCGGCCCGCGUCUGAUUAGCUAGUUGGUGAGGUAAAGGCUCACCAAGGCUACGAUCAGUAGCUGGUCUGAGAGGAUGACCAGCCACAUUGGGACUGAGACACGGCCCAAACUCCUACGGGAGGCAGCAGUGGGGAAUCUUGCGCAAUGGGCGAAAGCCUGACGCAGCCAUGCCGCGUGGAUGAUGAAGGUCUUGGGAUUGUAAAAUCCUUUCACCGGUGAAGAUAAUGACUGUAGCCGGAGAAGAGGCCCCGGCUAACUUCGUGCCAGCAGCCGCCGUAAGAC